GGCCUGCUUGGAGGAGGGAUCUCUGCCUGCCCCCUCGCUCUUCAUGAACCUGGGAGGGAGGGCUGUUUGCUGAACCCAGACCCACCAGAAAACGUCCUUCUUGUUGAGGAAGAGCACAAUGGACGUGGUGGCGAAGUAGCGGUGGUUGCAGAUGCUGUUGAACAGCACUGUCUCCGGCUUUCCCUGAAAACACUAGGGCCCUGCUUGGCACCCACCACUUCGUCGUCCUCCACCAGCACCAUGUCGUAGGCGCUCAGCGCCGCAAUGAAGAUGAUGCAGGUCACACCCUCGAAGCAAUGGAUCCACUUCUUGCGCUCCGAGCGCUGCCCGCCCACGUCGAACAUCCUGGGGAGCAGUUGGGGCCUGAACCCGCGCUUGGAACGCCAUGGACGCACCCACAGGCAUCCCCUUGCCUCCUAAUGCUGGCUGGGGGGCACUCGGAUGGGACUGGAGUGUGGGGUGUCUGAGGAGAGGCAGGGUCUCUUUGGGACAGGGCCUCUAAUAGGGCGUGGGGGCGCUGCAUUUGCAGCCACAGUCCCUGAGGGAGGGCCAGGGCAAGGGUGCGGGGUUGUACCGGAAGUGGAGGUCCUUGAAGGAGAACUGCGUCUCAAUGAUGCCUGUGGUCUUGACACGGGAGCGCAGCACGUCCUGCUCAGUGGGCACGUAGCCCGGGGUGACCAGGCGCUCCAGGUCCGAGAGGUAGCUGCGGGAGACCGCGGGGUGUGGGUGGGUGCGGUGGAGGGGCAUGGUAGGACCCCGCCCGCACCCCCGCGCCCCGCCUGCGCUCUCACUAGCCCGCCGAGUCGUUGAGCUGGUACUCAGAGGCGCGUUCGAAGCAGGCCUGGAUACCCGAGUCCUUCCACAGCCGCUGGAUGAUGUCUGACAUCUCCUUUGGCAUCGUGCCCUCUUCGAUGGUGUCCGCCAUGUGCAUCAGCUUCCGGGCGUCGUCCUGAGGGUGGGGUGGGAGUUGGUGGUGGUGACUGUGGACUUGAGCCCAGUCUCGUGCCUCAAGUCCCCAGAGGCCCCGCUCAGCCAGUCUCCCUGCACACCUGGCGGGCAGAGUCUCCAUACUGGAUGUUGAGUGUGGUCAUGGCACGUACGAUGGCGAGGAUGGACUGCAGCGUGUUGCCGUAGAUGAUGGCGAUGAACUCGAGGCACUCUUCUAACGAGUACCCAUCCUGGUGGAUGAUCCUGUGGCCAGGGUGAGCCGGGUCAAGGCCAAGUGGACUGGUGGGGAAGGACAGGCCCCGUGGGUGUGCCCACCCUCAGGGACCUCAGAAAGGGCAAGGGCACUCACUUCAUCUGCUUGACAAUGGUGCUCUUCCCGGACUCACCCGCUCCUGAAAGGGAAACUCCGCCUCAGAGCUGCGCUUGCCACACCUCCCUACAACCCUCCCCCCACCUUCUACACCCCCUACUCUCUCACCCCCCUAACCCCCCC